GACGAACGCUGGCGGCGUGCCUAAUACAUGCAAGUCGAGCGGACGGAUGGGAGCUUGCUCCCAGACCGUCAGCGGCGGACGGGUGAGUAACACGUGGGCAACCUGCCUGUAAGACUGGGAUAACUCCGGGAAACCGGGGCUAAUACCGGAUAACUCUUUCCCUCACAUGAGGGAAAGCUGAAAGAUGGCAUCUCGCUAUCACUUACAGAUGGGCCCGCGGCGCAUUAGCUAGUUGGUGAGGUAACGGCUUACCAAGGCGACGAUGCGUAGCGGACCUGAGAGGGUGAUCGGCCACACGGGGACUGAGACACGGCCCAGACUCCUACGGGAGGCCGCAGUAGGGAAUCUUACGCAAUGGACGAAAGUCUGACGGAGCAACGCCGCGUGAGUGAUGAAGGUUUUCGGAUCGUAAAACUCUGUUGUCAGGGAAGAACAAGUGCCGGAGUAACUGCCGGUACCUUGACGGUACCUGACCAGAAAGCCACGGCUAACUACGUG
rnacentral:rRNA from 1 species